rnacentral:tRNA from 1 species
GAGGGGAUAGCUCAGUGGUAGAGCGCACAGUUAGCAUGUACAGGUCCUGGGUUCAAUCCCCAGUACCUCCA